rnacentral:rRNA from 1 species
GUCCACGCCGUAAACGAUGCUAACUCGUUUUGGAUCUUCGGAUUCAGAGACCAAGCGAAAGUGAUAAGUUAGCCACCUGGGGAGUACGUUCGCAAGAAUGAAACUCAAAGGAAUUGACGGGGGCCCGCACAAGCGGUGGAUUAUGUGGUUUAAUUCGAUGAUACGCGAGGAACCUUACCAAGACUUAAAUGGGAAAUGACAGGUUUGGAAACAGACCCUUCUUCGGACAUUUUUCAAGGUGCUGCAUGGUUGUCGU